rnacentral:rRNA from 1 species
UCCACGCUGUAAACGAUGUCUACUAGGUUGUGGUCGUUCUGACACGGGCACGGCCGAAGCAAAAGUGUUAAGUAGACCGCCUGGGGAGUACGGUCGCAAGGCUAAAACUCAAAGGAAUUGACGGGGGCUCACACAAGCGGUGGAGCAUGUGGAUUAAUUCGAAGCAACGCGUAGAACCUUACCUGGGUUUGACAUGCUUGGAUGCCUUCCUGGAAACAGGAUAGGUUGCCCUUC